AUCUCAGGUAUUUUUUAUUGGAUCGUUAAUGCUAAUCAUGAAUUUCAAAAACUCGAAACAAUUAAUUCACUUAAAGUAUAUAAAUACUCAUUUAAAGCAUACAAACACAUCGUCCACAUAUCUUGAUGGUGAUUCGGCUCAAUCCGGUGUUCUACGGCUUCGAACACGACUCGGUCCAACCAAUCGUCCCGCCAUUUCGAACGUUAUUCGGCCUAAUCUGACGCCCUACCAUGUGGUAGGAUCGAUGCUGACACCUUUAAGCUAAUAAUAAUAACUUUAAUUACUAGAAAAUUAUAACAAUGCCAAUCCAAACACCACUUUAUGCUCUUAAUUAUAUA
rnacentral:lncRNA from 1 species